CGAACGCUGGCGGCGUGCUUUACACAUGCAAGUCGAACGGAGAAGCACCUUCGGGUGUGGAUCAGUGGCGAACGGGUGAGUAACACGUGGGUAACCUGCCCCUCACUUCGGGAUAACUCCGGGAAACCGGGGCUAAUACUGGAUAUCACCAGACCGGGCAUCCGGACUGGUUGAAAGGGUUUACUGGUGAGGGAUGGACCCGCGGCCUAUCAGCUAGUUGGUGGGGUAAAGGCCUACCAAGGCGACGACGGGUAGCCGGCCUGAGAGGGCGACCGGCCACACUGGGACUGAGACACGGCCCAGACUCCUACGGGAGGCAGCAGUGGGGAAUAUUGCGCAAUGGACGAAAGUCUGACGCAGCAACGCCGCGUGAGGGAACGAAGGCCUUUGGGUUGUAAACCUCUUUCAGCAGGGACGAAGCGAAAGUGACGGUACCUGCAGAAGAAGCACCGGCUAACUAC
rnacentral:rRNA from 1 species